AAAAGGUAUUUACCAGUAUUAUCUAUCUAUCUAUCUAGCUAUCUAUCUCCGCUGUUUAAUCUGGAACAUGCGGCACCCAGCCUCAGAGAAGAUGGGUGGCUGCAAAACAGCAGAUCCGCUUACCGCCCACCCCCGCCUUCCCCUCAAAAGCCAUUGACAGCAGAGCCAGCUCGGAAGAUAGCCUUGGUCUACGGAGAAAGGAGGCUGCUCCGAGUUUCGAGGGCUGUGCUGCUUUCUCCAUCACAUCAGAAGGACAUCCGUGUAUCCCACAGUCGUCCACCCACACCUUAUGAGCUCAGGUUUCCACAGCAGCCACUUGAAAGGCAGAAACUGAACUCCUUUUCUGUGACUAAUGGCUGACGCUUGAAAGAAAACCUCUCCUAUUCCCCGGGGCAACAUAGCUGUUGGAGCAAUACUGUGCAUACAGGUGGGAUGCCUACCAGCAUGCACCACGGAAGCAGGCAACUCAGCUGCCUUUGCAAUUGCUGUUUUGGCCAAUCUCAUGGUUGAUGAUGCCAGAAUUCGUCACAGCGCCAGCUAACUCUUGCUGGAAUGUGCAGCCACAUCAGUUCCAGCAGCAUCUUGUGACAGAGAACUCUGCAGUACAGGUUUGAUAGGAAGCAUAUAGAGGGAUGGUGUUUGUGACUAUCAGCUCCCCCUCACUCUCUCACUCACACACCCAAGUCGACCUCAGGAUCAUGAGAGUUGGAAGGGACCCAACUGAGGAUGUGAGCCAACACUCUUGCUAGUACAAGACACUCCCCAAGAGUUUGCGGUCUACGGAAAUAUUCCGUAGGCUUCCGAGGCAGCCAGUUUCAUUGCUGAGCUGCAAUCAUAGGCAGUCCUUGCCUGAUGUUUACCCAAGUCCACUUCCCUGUCAUUUUAGCAUACUGAAAGUGUGAGCCGGCAAGUCCCCAAUUCAAAUCUCACCUCAAGCAUUUUUGUUUAUACAUUGCAACCUCAGCCCUCUGUUUGCAUAAUGGGGUUAAUUACACUGGCCUACCGACAGGGCUGCUGUGACACACACAUUUGGAAGUUUUCCACUUGCUCCUGGUCCUCCCCUCCAUCAUCUUUUCUCUAAACUAGGCAUACCGAGCUGGGAAUACACACAGCGUCCUUAUACCGAGUCAAAUCACUGGUCUGCACAGCCCAGUACUCUCUAUUCCGAUUAAUACUAGCUUUCCAGGGUCUCACACAGAUGACCUUCCCUGCCCUGCACCUGAAAAUAUCUUUCUCACGGAAGGUGCUAGGGGUUGAACCUGGUGUCCGAUGCAUGCUAAGUACAAGCUCUGUUGUAAUAGGAUUUGUUUUGUGGGGCCAAGUACUACUUGGCCCCACUAACUGGGCAAACCCCUGCUAAUUGGGCAAAGAGGCACCUUUUACCGUGGUGAUUCUCUUUAUUUAGCAGGGGGAGAGUAACUGGCCCUAUCCCCCCCUAGCACAGUACUGCAGUGACUGUUGCUGGUGUGUGUGUUAUGUUUCUUUUUAGAAUGUGAGCCCUUUGGGGACAGGGAGCCAUCUUAUUUGUUUGUUAUUUCUCUUUGUAAACCGCCCUGGGCCAUUUUUGGAAGGGCGGUAUAGAAAUCAAGUUAUUAAUUAUUAUUAUUAUUAUUAUUAUUAUUAUUACUACUACUACUACUACUACUACUACUACAUCACACACCUCUUGCUUAGAGUGAAAGGACUGCACCCCUUCAAAGCAGAGCAUCAGCCCAAUUCCUUUCCUAAUGUUCAUUGAGGGUGCAAUACACCUGCCACCCUGGACAAAGAGGCCUAUGUAUUUGGCACUUGGGUAUCUCUUCCCAAGUACAAAAUGCAGGUGAGACCCAAUGCUGCAACCAAGUUGAAGACAGACAUGUCUCGCCAGAGGUUUACAGCUUAGUAAUACAAGGAAAACAGGGAAAGGGAGGGGAAAGGACAUUGGUUAGUACUGGUCAUGGGUAGCGUACUGCUAGCAAAGCAGAACAGAUUUCAAUCCUUUCCUAUGGCUCCUUUGGACCAGGCCCACUGGAUUCAGGAUAGGAAGAGGCUCCUGCAUUUGAAAGCGGCUGUAAAGAGAGAACUUUGGGCUGGUAUUGCCUCUGUCAGCACAGUACUGUAGUGAUGGAUGCUGUACCUACCAUUCUUUCUCGGAUAAGUACAGUACUAAGAGCAGCUGCCUCCCAUAUGGUACAUGAAGCAGCUGGAGUGGUCAGUACCCUCUUGGGGAACAAAUGCCCACUGAGAUCCUUGACAAGGUUUACACCCCUAGAGAUGGAAAACGGGUGGCAGCAUUGCAAUUCUGUCAUUGCGUUAUCAUGCCUUUAUUGUCCUGACCAGUGUUCUAAUUUUCUUCAUCUGUGUGAAGAAUGAGUUUUGUUCUGGGUAGCAGUAUCAAGGCUGUGUGUGUGCAUGCACAUAUAUUCAGAGUAGGACUUUCCAGAUUCAAUUUGAGCGGGAUCUAAAAUUAACUGAGUGGACAUUAAGAAAAACAUGUGUGUGUAUGCCUUAGAGGGAACACUGGUCCUGACCAUUGAGCCUGCCGUGAUGGUCCAAAUUUUCAGUGGUGUUUUAAAAGCUUUUCACACAUAAAAACUACUAUACAAUUUGAUCAGUGUUAUCAGAGGAAUGGAAAUGGAAAUGUCCCCCCCAAAGAUUAUUUCAUGGAGUACAAUUUGUUCAUUAUUACCCUAACCCAGGGCUGCUCAACUCUGGCCCUCCUACAGAUGUUGGCCUACAACUUACAGAAUACCUGGCUAUUGGCCAUUGCGGCUGGGGAUUAUGGGAGUUGUAGUCUCAAAACAGCUGAGAGGGCCUAAGUUGAGCAGGCAUACACUAACCCUACCCCAACUCCUACCCUUUCAUCUGUGCAAAAAAGACUCAUUUUGCCCUAAUCAUUUGGGGGAUAGGGAUAAAGAAGGGGCAAUAAUACAGAGAAAGCUGUAAGUGCAACAGUUUUAUCACCUAUUUUCCAUUUCUGGGGAGGGGUUGCCAAAAAUCACUGAGUAUUUGCCUCCUGCUGAGAUGGUACCAUUGGCCAAAAUCUGUGGGCUUGGCUCAUGGAUUAAUACUAAACCUAACAAACUUCAACACAACUUGGAAAGUAGAUUAACAACCCAACUGCAAGCCAACAAAAGAGCAUGACAGCCUUUUCACCAAUACUCUUUUGUGGUUCCGAUUCUCUCUUGUAUAAACAUUAGACACUUAACAUUCAGAGGCACAGUCUGAAUUCAGAGAAUGUCCUACCUAAAUAACUACAUCCAGCCACCACUUCACACGAGAUGUGUUUCAAUUCAACCACAUUUCCCCCUUCCACCCCAAUGAGUAGUAUUCAUAAAAUGUUGGCCAUCAGUACUGAACAAGAAAGAGAUGCUCACGCUAGUCUUAUUUCUAUAGUACUUUUCAACUAACAAGGUACUUAAGGAUUCUUACUAUGCUAUAAUCUUCUCUCUCUCUGGCAUAUUCUACCCUACUUAGGGUCCAGAACUAAUAUCUGAAAUGGAUAGGUGUCUGAUUUGGAACUGCAAGUUGGGCAGAAUGUGUCAAAAUUGGCAGGUUUGGACAUCAUGCCCAGCGUCAGCAUAUCCUUCCCAACACUAGAAGUCAGGCUCACACAUGUUCCCAGGGCUCUGGCAAUUCCAAACUUCAUAGAAUUCUUUUUAAUGCCUAUGUUGCUUUUAAUGUAGAUGGAUUUAUAUUAAGUUGCCCAGGAUUGAACACAUAGUAGGGUUGGAAAAGCAUCAGAGGAUUGUAGAUGGUUUACUUUAGGGAUCUGAACAGAACCAGCAAGCCCAGAUCAGCUCAAAUCCAGACUAGAUUUGAGCCUUCCCUGGGUGGUUCACCUUGAAUGAGCCUGGGCCGGCUGUUGAGCUGGCUUGAGGGUACAACGGCCAUACUUGUAAAGGGGAAUCUGGCAAG